ACUCCUACGGGAGGCAGCAGUGGGAAUAUUGCACAAUGGGAAGCCAUCGAUGCAGCCAUGCCGCGCUGUGUGAAGAAGGCCAAUUCGGGCUUGGUUAAAGACACUUUUCAGCGAGGAGGAAAAGGGUGUGUGCUAAUACCAUACAUCUGUGACGUUACUCGCAGAAGAAGCACCGGCUAACUCCGUGCCAGCAGCCGCGGUAAUACGGAGGGUGCGAGCGUUAAUCGGAAUUACUGGGCGUAAAGCGUGCGCAGGCGGUUUGUUAAGCGAGAUGUGAAAGCCCGCC
rnacentral:rRNA from 1 species